rnacentral:lncRNA from 1 species
AAGGCAGGGCAGUGAUGGUGAACACCAUUAAUCCCAGCACUGAGAAGGCAGAGGCAGGGGGAUCACUGUGAGUAUGUGGCCAAACUGGCCAACAUAGUGAGUUCCAAGAUAGCUGAGACUAUAUAGUAAGAUCCUGUCUCAAUAAAACAACAAUGAAAACCAGGGUGAGCGAGAUGGCUCAGCAGUUAAGAGCUCUGGCUGUCUUGCAGAGAGGACCUGGGAUAUGAUGGCUCAUAACCAUCUAACUCCAUCCUGUCCAAGGGAUCUGACAUCCUCUUCUGGCCUUUGUGGGUGCUUUAUGCAUGUGGUGCAUAAUAUAUAGACAUACAACGCACAUAAAACGAGAAUAGAUGAAUCUUUCUUAGAAAGAAAGUCAAAACAAAGCCAGAAGGCACUUUUUAGCUCUCUAGUCUGCAGAUAUCAUUUGCAUAUUACAAAGUUGCUUCUUUCUGACCAUAGUUCUGGCCUCUGUGGAAGAGCUUAGGAUAGACUGAUAUCAAAUGACUUCUCCUGGCACAUCCUCAGUCAGAUUACUACUCUGUUUAUGGUACCACAAUUAGAGGCAUGUAAUUAUCUAACAAAAACAGUAUAAAUGUUACAUCAUUUAUAAAGCAGUACCUAGCUAAAGUCUAGCCAAAACCACAGCCUAGAUCCACAAAGCAAGCUGUUGGCCUUCAAGUCUCUUUCUUUCUUUCUUUCUUUCUUUUUUUUUUUUUUUUUUUUCUGUUGUUGCUUUUCCAACACAGGGUUUCUCUGUGUAGCCCUGGCUGUCCUGGAACUUGCUCUGUAAACCAAGCUGGCCUCAAACUCUCCUUCCUGAGUCACCAGCCUGCUCAUCCUUCAAAUUUCAAAGGCCUUCUCAGUGUCAAGAGUUCAGCAUGUACUGAGCCUCUGUGCAAAUGGCAGGGUGGACAGACAGGAGCGCACGUGAGUCACCCACUGAGUCAUGAGUUCAAAUACCAAAGACACAGAGAAAGUUUACUGUGGUUCUCGGAUGUAAGCACUUAUGCAAAUCUCUCCAUAACACUGCUUGCCAUUUCCCCACUUGUUCAGAGGAGGUAAGGGCAUCUUCUAUACCUAGUAUGCUGUUCGGACUGUUUGGCAAGAAAAAUGAUGAAAUUCGACUUUAGGCUACUUAUGGGGUAAUGAAGCAAGGGAAAGAGGAUAUCAAGGCUCAAAGACUUCAGAGAGGGGAGUUGUUUAAAGGCAAGAGGUAUGAAAAAGCCUUUGAGAGGAUAAAAUGUAACCACUGAAGGCCAUAAACAGCCUGAGUGUAUUGAUGCACAUCUGUAAUUCCAGUACCUGGGAGUCUGAGGCAGGAAGAGUUUUGAGGUAAUCUGGGCUAUAUAACAAAUAAAGCCAAAAAUCCUUGAUCUUGUGGUAGUUGUGGAGGUUCAGCAAUUAAAGGUGGCUUAUACCACCUUUAUACCAAGCUGAAUACAAUAGUCAGUAUUGUCUAAGGAAACUGACAGAAUGAAGACAGAUAUGUGGCUGCUCCUAUACAUUGUGAAUUACUAUAACAUAUAGCAUUAUAUAAUAACAAAUCCCUGUGACUUAUUAGAAUGACUUGCAGGAUAUAGUCUGAGUAGUCCAACUAUGGAUGCCAUACAGCAGCAGCUGAGAGCCAGGUCAUCGUCCACGGUGCUGGGAUGUCUCCACAGUCCCAAUCUGGCACCAGAGACAUGGAGGAUUCGUGAAGAACUUCUGGUCCUAAGUGUACUCUGGAAGCCCAAAGAAGAUGGCUCAAAUAUCAGCCAAGAAUGCGUAGGAUCAUGAGAUGGGCUUGCCUACUGGCAUGCAAAGCAGGACUUCCUUCUUUCUCUUCCUCUCAUCACCUGGCUUGCAACCAACUGAAAGACACCGCCCACUUUUGUGGAUUUGCUGUUGUCUUUACAUUGCUUUUUUCAGGACAGGGUUUCUCUGUAUAUCCCUGGCUGUCCUGAAACUCUCUACAUAGACCAAGCUGGCCUUGAACUCAAAGAUCUGCCUACUUCUGCCUCCCUGAGCACUGGAAUUAAAGGCUUAUGCCACUGUACCCUGCUGAUACCGCCAACUUCUAGGAUACAACUUUCUGCUUCAAAUGAUCAGCUCAAGAAAAGUCUUUGGAAAGAGUGCCCAGAGGUUUAUGUUAUUCCACAUCCAAUCAAGUUGAUACAAAAGACCUGAGUUCCACCCCUGGGACCAUUCCCACAAGCUGUCUUCUGACCUCCAUACAAACCUUAGGGUGCAUGUUUGGGGUAUAUACUUGAGUGCUUGCACACACACAUAAUGAAUAGAUGUAUCAAAAAGGAUUUUUAAAACCUUGGUCCGGUGCUGCUUGGAGCAGGUGUGGUGAUAUACUUCAUGUGCUUGUAAGCCUUGGAGAAUUUGUGAACAGAAGCAAGAGGAUCAGCUCUAAGACUGUUCUAGGCCACAAUAUACUGAGUUGAGGCCAACCUAAUCUCUACGAGGCUAAUCAAUCAACCAAUCAAUCAACCAAUCAAUAAAGGAAAUGAGGUUUGAGACUUUGAAGUAUCAGCAGAUUGUUUCACUAUUAUUAUCCAAACGCAGUGGGACACGUCUUUAGUGCCAGAACUCUGGAGAUCAGCAGAAGCAGGCAGAUCUAUAAGAUUGUGGUCUACACAGUGAAUUCCAGGCUAGCCAGGGCAACAUAGUGAGGCUAUGUCUCAAAAAAGAGAAAAAAAAUAUAUACUAAACUAUGUCCUUUAGGACAAAAGAUAACUGUCAACUAAGAAGAAAGAAAUUAUCAAAUCUCAAAGCUAUUAGCUGGAGAAUUUACCAUCAAUAUGUGAAACCUUUCAACAGAAACAAAUGUAGCAAUGAGGGCCAAGGCAGGACUGAGUCUGCCAAAGUUACUAUAAUGAAAUGUUGGGCAUUAAAAUGAAGCCCCAAAUAGUGGCUCGGUAAUGUUGAGAUGGUGGUUUCUUCUACUUAAGGGUUUCCCCAGAGUCCAGGCCAGAAGCCUGGCAUAUGUAGGUACACACUUAUGAACGAAUGUCAUGUUAAGACAUACAGAGUUCCCCAGUCCCUGAGUUUGGCAUUCCCUCCCCUCACACAGAGACACUGUAUCACCAGCUUCCUAGGGAUGCCACCACACAUGUAUCUCUGAGAAUCCAAUUUCCAGACUCACAGGUUCAGUGGUACAUGCUGGGGUCCCUUGAGCAGCAAUUCAGGUAAGAUGAUCUCUUCACGGAAGGGGCCCAUGACGGCACUGUGAAGAGAAAGAGACUCAAACCAGCAAGCCAAUGCCCUACAUAGCAGGUUAUGAUGCAGCAGAAGGCCCUCCCUAGAUGCUAGGAUCUAGGAUGCUAGGAUCUAGUGCUUGGUCUUUCUAGCUUCCAAAUAAACAUGAAUAAGUUCUCCAGCCUCAGGCAUCUACUUUUAGCAACAGACUAAGAGGACCAGCAACAAACACAAAUAAGUAAAUUCAUAAUACUAAAAUAUUUUUAAAAGGGAGAAAACAGAUGAAGACACCACAUACAGACACACAGGCACGCAUAUAUGCACUCAUGCACGUACACACACUCAGUUUUUUAACCUAGUGUGGA